GUGAAUCAUCGAAUUUUUGAACGCAAAUUGCACUCCCUGGUAUCCCGGGAAGUAUGCCUGUUUGAGGGUCAGUAUUAUUAAAAAUCGGGUUUAGUUCCAAAUUGUGACGUUUCCGGCGUCUGGGCUAACUUAACUUUUUUGGGUUAGAGGCUUAAAAUUGACCUUUUUUGCGCAUUUUUAAAU
rnacentral:misc_RNA from 1 species